rnacentral:tRNA from 1 species
UCCCUGGUGGCUCAGAGGUUAAAGCGUCUGCCUGCAAUGCAGGAGACGUGGGUUCGAUCCCUGGGUCGGGAA